rnacentral:lncRNA from 1 species
AAGUCCAGCGACAGACAGCUGCACUGCCUCGUGACCACAGAUCGGCCAGUGAUGGUUGGAUUCCAUGGACACACUGAUGUCUGUGCCAGGCAGAAGGCUAAGCUGGUCCUCAGCUGAUGCCCUUGAGCACAGUAAAGAAAAAUUACACGAGUAUUUUGUCAAGACAUGAAGUCACAUAACAGAAUAACCAAGUCCAAGUUGGAUUUCAUAUGUUUUGUGUGUCUAGAAGACAAAGAAGAAGGCUCACCCCAGGUCAGGUUUCAGGAUGUCAUGCUAAUUCCUUAUGGUAGCCACAGGAAACUGAAGCGUGAGAUAGUGAAUGCUCUGGAAGAUGGUCCUGGCAGAGCGGAACACCUUCUGGUGGAUUUCAGAAUGACUUUAGAGUCACAGAAAAGUUGCAGAGUUCCCAUACAUUCUUCAUCCAGAUCACCCCAGAGAUGUGAUUACCCAAACUGGAAGAGGCUAGGAAAGAGUAUCAGGUCGUCAGAAACGGGGAUGACAGUGUUGUGAAUUACCAGGAGGCACGGUGCUAGUUCCAGGGGGUGAACAAGGCAGUCACGCUCAGCUGUGACAGACACCGUUUCCUGAUGUCUGCUUUCUUUGCAGCUGUAAAUGGCAAUGGUGACUAGCUCAGACCAAGGUGACUAUGUACAAAUAAGCAGAGAACAGGAUCCUGAACCGCUGAACAAGGUUGUCCAUUCUGACAGAAGUUGGUCCAGUGGGUUUCUUCCUUGAGCACAGACAUGAUUCUGAGAAACACAGCAACAGCAACUAUGAAGUAAGGAGCAAUGAGGACACGGCCAGAGGACUCCUGAGAGGAAGCCCUGCCUU